CUAGAAUAUUUGCCUAGAGUUGUGGGAGUAGAACAAGAACAAAAGCUCUCAACAAACAACUGGUUUUCCAUGACGACUUUAGGUGUUGUACACGCAAAAGGUGUAAUGAAACGAGGUUGUAUGUUAAUAAAUAAUAUAUGUAUAUUCAAGUUAUUGGAAAAAAGACAUCUGAGAUGCCCCGGAACAAAAUAUCAAGCAUCAGGAAAGGUUGAAGAGAAUGGUGUAUUCAUUUUAACUAAGGGGCAAGGACAAGACAAUCACCAACACUUGGAGUACUAAAUAAUUUUAAGAGUUGCUUGAGGGAGGCAUAUAUAAGACAGAAAGCAGAGCAAAAGAACAUGUACAACUUCCUUGAGAAAAGAAAUGCAAAAGAUGUAGUACGUACCUCUACGCAGAGGCAAUCAAAUAAUCCUGUAGAACUAGAAAAUAUGGCGAGAGUCCUGGGAGCAAGGGAGUGGUUAUACAGUGUGGCAGAAAAGCUUGGCAUCGGCCAUUUUGCUCUCAAGGCCCGAAAGGAUUCAAA